AGAUUGAUGGAGAGGAUCCGUGGUUAAUCGCCUUAUCAAUUAUCACACCAGAUUAGACGAUUGAUGGAGAGGAUCCGUGGUUAAUCGCCUUAUCAAUUAUCACACCAGAUUAGACGAAGUGAGGAGCCUGCCGCCGCUGAGCUGCUUCCAUGAGGAGGCACAAGCAGAAAUCAGG